GGCCAAACCCUUUUGCACUCGCAGCCGGGAAUGAUCAAAGCGCGACAAAAGGUGGCCAAAGCCUUUCUGCCUGAUUCCACAUUUCCUUUCGCCGGUGACAUGUACCGCCGUCUCCCGUAACCGUCAAAGUCAUCAAUUAUCAGGCAGGAGGAGAGAAGAGAUGCAAGCAGCGCGUGAGCCGGGUAAGAAUCAUGGUGACAGGUCCGAAUAUGGGGUCUUCGUCACGUGGUUCAUGAAAGGUCACAGAUCAACCGUAAAUAAUCACUUUCGCCGCGAUAACCUUCAGCAGCGCAAAGCGCACGUCCAAUUUCCGUCUCUUUGAGACAAAAGCGCUCCUUGCCUUUGACGGUAAAGUCCUGUUACAUCCGUUACCUCCCGGCCAUGUUGUUUCACUUCUAAUCAAGCGGUGUGACAAAAGCGACACGUUAUUUUGUUGAUGCCGUUGAGACGCCUCAUCAACGCAACGUGCAUCUGCGUCGGAGUCGAGCAUGGGAAGACAGCGAGUUGAACCUUGUGCACCGGCAACCGUCUCGGGUAACGCCAGGGAGGUGAUAUGCAUGUCCCACUGGAAAGAGACCCCGGGGAUGACCCAGGACACGGUGGAGAGACUAUGUCUCUCGGCUAGCUUGGGAAGGCCUCGGGAUCCCUCCGGAAGAGCUGGAAGAAGUGGCUGGGGAAAGGGAAGUCUGGGUAUCCCUGCUGAAGCUCCUUCGCUCGCGACCCGACCCGGAAAAGCGGUAGAAAAUGGAUGGAUGGAGGAUCAUAUCAAAUCCUUAAAAAUGCUAUUCAGUCACGGAGAGUUGACAGCCUACAACAGCUGACGUGGGACCAAAGUCGCACCAUACGUCCCGGAUCGGUGGCCAAUCAAUCGUAGGGACGGAAAAGCGUUCACGCUCACAAUCCCGCAAUCAGUGAAUAAGCGGGAAUUGAACCAACACUGCAGGUGCAGAAGGCGGAGGAGUGAGCUAUUCCGCCAUCACUGACCUGACCUUCCAACUUUCCCCAGCACUCAUCAAACGGAGAACGAACAAGACUUGAGAUGACUCAGCUAGAGAAGAAGAUAGCAGAAGCCUUUGCCGUGUGCUACGAACCAUAUUUAACUGGGCAAGACGAUAUUGGGGGCCUGGUUCAGAUUUUGAGAACUUUCUAGAAAUAGACACAUUCAAGACAGUUCAUUUUGGUUGUUACAAUUUGUUUUGAAUUCAAAAUAAAACAUUACAUGCUUUCACUGUACUUUGUGUUAGCAAUAUCAUGACAAAACUGGUCGCUAUGAUUAUUUUGGUGACGAUAAUGUCAAAAUGUAAUUUUCAAAAAAAAAAAAAAAAAAAUGUCAUCUCCAUAUGACCUCCCGGGUAUUUUUUAUUCUUCACUUUCAGGAUUUUCCUU